rnacentral:rRNA from 1 species
UGUGACUGCGUACCUUUUGUAUAAUGGGUCAGCGACUUAUAUUCAGUGGCAAGGUUAACCAUCUAGGGGAGCCGUAGGGAAACCGAGUCUUAACUGGGCGUUCAGUCUCUGGAUAUAGACCCGAAACCAGGUGAUCUAGCCAUGGGCAGGUUGAAGGUUGAGUAACAUCAACUGGAGGACCGAACCGACUAAUGUUGAAAAAUUAGCGGAUGACUUGUGGCUAGGGGUGAAAGGCCAAUCAAACCUGGAGAUAGCUGGUUCUCCCCGAAAGCUAUUUAGGUAGCGCCUCGGACGAAUACUACUGGGGGUAGAGCACUGUUAAGGCUAGGGGGUCAUCCCGACUUACCAACCCUUUGCAAACUCCGAAUACCAGUAAGUACUAUCCGGGAGACACACGGCGGGUGCUAACGUCCGUCGUGGAGAGGGAAACAACCCAGACCGCCAGCUAAGGUCCCAAAUUACUACUAAGUGGGAAACGAUGUGGGAAGGCUCAGACAGCCAGGAUGUUGGCUUAGAAGCAGCCAUCAUUUAAAGAAAGCGUAAUAGCUCACUGGUCGAGUCGGCCUGCGCGGAAGAUGUAACGGGGCUAAGUAGUAAACCGAAGCUGCGGCAAUGCACUUUAGUGCAUUGGGUAGGGGAGCGUUCUGUAAGCGGUUGAAGGUGUGUGGUAACGCAUGCUGGACGUAUCAGAAGUGCGAAUGCUGACAUGAGUAACGAUAAAGGGGGUGAAAAACCUCCUCGCCGGAAGACCAAGGGUUCCUGUCCAACGUUAAUCGGGGCAGGGUAAGUCGACCCCUAAGGCGAGGCCGAAAGGCGUAGUCGAUGGGAAACGGGUUAAUAUUCCCGUACUUCUUACAAUUGCGAUGGGGGGACGGAGAAGGCUAGGUGGGCCUGGCGACGGUUGUCCAGGUUCAAGUGCGUAGGCUGAGAAAUUAGGUAAAUCCGGCUCUCUUAAGGCUGAGACACGACGUCGAGCUACUACGGUAGUGAAGUCAUUGAUGCCAUGCUUCCAGGAAAAGCCUCUAAGCUUCAGAUUGUAAGGAAUCGUACCCCAAACCGACACAGGUGGUCGGGUAGAGAAUACCAAGGCGCUUGAGAGAACUCGGGUGAAGGAACUAGGCAAAAUGGUACCGUAACUUCGGGAGAAGGUACGCUCUCGACGGUGAAGUCCCUCGCGGAUGGAGCUAUUGAGAGUCGCAGAUACCAGGUGGCUGCAACUGUUUAUUAAAAACACAGCACUGUGCAAAAUCGCAAGAUGACGUAUACGGUGUGACGCCUGCCCGGUGCCGGAAGGUUAAUUGAUGGGGUUAGACUUCGGUCGAAGCUCUUGAUCGAAGCCCCGGUAAACGGCGGCCGUAACUAUAACGGUCCUAAGGUAGCGAAAUUCCUUGUCGGGUAAGUUCCGACCUGCACGAAUGGCGUAAUGAUGGCCACGCUGUCUCCACCCGAGACUCAGUGAAAUUGAAAUCGCUGUGAAGAUGCAGUGUACCCGCGGCUAGACGGAAAGACCCCGUGAACCUUUACUACAGCUUGGCACUGAACAUUGACCCUACAUGUGUAGGAUAGGUGGGAGGCUUUGAAGCGCAGUCGCUAGAUUGCGUGGAGCCGUCCUUGAAAUACCACCCUUGUA